GGGGAAUAUUGGACAAUGGGCGAAAGCCUGAUCCAGCCAUGCCGCGUGUGUGAAGAAGGCCUUUUGGUUGUAAAGCACUUUAAGUGGGGAGGAAAAGCUUAUGGUUAAUACCCAUAAGCCCUGACGUUACCCACAGAAUAAGCACCGGCUAACUCUGUGCCAGCAGCCGCGGUAAUACAGAGGGUGCAAGCGUUAAUCGGAAUUACUGGGCGUAAAGCGCGCGUAGGUGGUUAUUUAAGUCAGAUGUGAAAGCCCCGGGCUUAACCUGGGAACUGCAUCUGAUACUGGAUAACUAGAGUAGGUGAGAGGGGAGUAGAAUUCCAGGUGUAGCGGUGAAAUGCGUAGAGAUCUGGAGGAAUACCGCUGGCGAAGGCAGCUCCCUGGCAUCAUACUGACACUGAGGUGCGAAAGCGUGGGUAGCAAACAGGAUUAGAUACCCUGGUAGUCCACGCCGUAAACGAUGUCUACCAGUCGUUGGGUCUUUUAAAGACUUAGUGACGCAGUUAACGCAAUAAGUAGACCGCCUGGGGAGUACGGCCGCAAGGUUA
rnacentral:rRNA from 1 species